rnacentral:tRNA from 1 species
GCCUGUGUGGCUCAGUUGGUUAAACGUCUGACUUUGGCUCAGGUCAUGAUCUCAAGGCUCGUGGGUUAAAGCCCCACAUCAGGCU